UACAGAGGUCUCAAGCGUUGUUCGGAUUCAUUGGGCGUAAAGGGUGCGUAGGUGGCGCCGUAAGUCAGGUGUGAAAUUUCGGAGCUUAACUCCGAAACUGCAUUUGAUACUGCGGUGCUUGAGGACUGGAGAGGAGACUGGAAUUUACGGUGUAGCAGUGAAAUGCGUAGAGAUCGUAAGGAAGACCAGUGGCGAAGGCGGGUCUCUGGACAGUUCCUGGCACUGAGGCACGAAGGCCAGGGGAGCAAACAGG
rnacentral:rRNA from 1 species